AACGUAGGUGGCGAGCGUUAUCCGGAUUUACUGGGCGUAAAGCGUGUGCAGGCGGAGCUACAAGUGGUGUAUGAAAUCGCUCGGCUUAACUGGGAGGGUGCGCCGUAGACUGUGGGGCUAGAGUGUGGGAGAGGAAAGUGGAAUUCCUGGUGUAGCGGUGAAAUGCGUAGAUAUCAGGAGGAACACCGGUGGUGUAAACGGCUUUCUGGACCAUAACUGACACUGAGGCACGAAAGCGUGGGUAGCAAACAGG
rnacentral:rRNA from 1 species